rnacentral:sRNA from 12 species
AAUCAACGCGAAGGAUUGUUUCAACCAUGUGUAUUCACAAUUCCAUGUGGUCAUGGACGUGUUCAAGGAGUUCCACUAUGGAGGAUACCCCAUAGGUAGGCUUUGCCUGAUGCAGGUAACUGGCAUCUAAAGAAGGGCAGAAGAGAUGGAAAAUCUCAACCGAGCAGGCACGGUGCUGUGAUGAAACGCAAGAAAAUGGUAUCGCUAACUGGUCGCUAUCGCAAUAGAUAUAAGGUAUACUUAUUGAACCAAGUAGAGGAUAGUUUGGCAGCUAUGUCAAUCGCUUGGAGUGCCAUAAGAUAGUUGUCCAAUUGAUGCUGGUAAUCAGAUAUAAGACCAGACGCGAGUACGAGUAGCCCAAAGUUGGAAUAUAUUAGAAGAUAUUAUAAGAUUGAUAUGCUGAAUGGUGGGUGAAAGUUGUUGGUAGCCAAUCCAGCCAUAGAUUGACGUAAGUUGGGAUGGAAAGAUAUGGGGUCGCUCCCUGUGUCUCAGCUCCAUUUCCUAUGUGACCGAAUUACCACUACGUUUUAUGAAGGUACGAUGAAGAUCGGAGACAAUCUUUCGCGUUGG